CAAGCCAGGCUUCGUUUCUUUUUUUCUGCUAAACAAAAGUCAAAUCCUCAGCUUCAUUAAUAUAAUUUCCAUGCAUUUAAAUGUGAAAAUUUGAGCUUUUUUUUCCAGGAUGCGGCAGUUCCUUAUUGCAGCAUUAGGAUUACUUGGAGAUUUUCAUCUCAGGCUUUCCCUUGCUGCUUUACCUCUCAGAGUGGUCUUCAGCACUCAGUAGUCCUCCCUGGGGAUGUCCAGCAAUGCAGAGCCUUCGCUGAAACCCUGGCGCCAGAUGCAAUCAUUUAUAAUUUCUCCUGCAACAUACAGACCCGAGUCAUAGCCAGUUUCCUUCAGAGAAACAUCUGUGCUAUCAGUGCCCUAGCAGCUGUGCUGGCUCUCUUGAUUUAAGUUGGAAAUAUUUCUGUCAAUUGGUGAAACUAUCAUAAGAUGAUCCUUGUUUCCUCACACAGUCUGGGAUAAGAAGGAUCCAUUUCACACUUGUUUCAUAGUCCAGAAGUCUUACACUCAAUUUAUUACUUUUGUAUCUGGACUGCUGGUAUAUAAGUUACACACUUCCUAAUACACAUCUCUACAUCUUUUAUCCUAGACCAUCACACUCGACUCUGUAAAUUCAUCAAGGUUUUGUUUAUUCCUGAAUUUCCCUGAGCAUGAACUUACUCUGUCAACCUGUUCUGUGUGUGUUCAGGCAUAAUCCAGCAUUUACACAGGUCUAUAGACUUGUGGUACCCUAUCUCUUUCCAUCUCAAACUUUCUCCUUCUUCCACUAAAUCAGAGAGGGUUAGGUCCUGUGCUUGCAAUGCUAUCUUGCCUACGUUCUCUGUCCUUCCUGCUUGAGAUGAUGGAUCAGGUUAAGGACUUCUUGGCCUUGCAUGAUGAAGCUAAAUGAAGUGUGCUCCCUGCUGACUGCAUGCCCUUCCAGACCAAGCACGGGUCCUACACCACACAAUCUGAAGCAUGACACUGGCACUGGCUGAUCCAGUGUUAUGGCUUUUAAUGCUGCCACCUGUCAGUUGGAGCAUAUGAUGACAGCAAUUUUCUCAUGAUCG
rnacentral:lncRNA from 1 species